UGAGGAAUAUUGGUCAAGGGACGAGAGUCUGAACCAGCCAUGCCGCGUGAAGGAUGAAGGCGUUCUGCGUUGUAAACUUCUUUUGCGGGGGAAGAAACCUUGAUAGUCUUAUCAAGCCGACGGUACCCCGAGAAUAAGCACCGGUUAAUUCCGUGCCAGCAGCCGCGGUAAUACCGAGGGUGCAAGCGUUAUCCGCAUUUACUCGGUUUAAAGGGUGUGUAGUCGGAAUGUUAAGUCAGCGGUAAAAUCUCCAGGCUCAACCUGGAAACUGCCAUUGAUACUAUUAGGCUUGAAUAUUGUUGAGGUGGGCGGAACUGGUCGUGUAGCGGUGGAAUGCAUGGAUAUGACCCGGAACACCGAUUGCGAAGGCAGCCCACUGAGCAAUGAUUGACGCUGAGGAGCGAGAGCGUGGGGAUCAAACA
rnacentral:rRNA from 1 species